AUUGAACGCUGGCGGCAGGCCUAACACAUGCAAGUCGAGCGGAUGAAGGGAGCUUGCUCCUGGAUUCAGCGGCGGACGGGUGAGUAAUGUCUAGGAAUCUGCCUGGUAGUGGGGGAUAACGUCCGGAAACGGGCGCUAAUACCGCAUACGUCCUGAGGGAGAAAGUGGGGGAUCUUCGGACCUCACGCUAUCAGAUGAGCCUAGGUCGGAUUAGCUAGUUGGUGGGGUAAAGGCCUACCAAGGCGACGAUCCGUAACUGGUCUGAGAGGGUGAUCAGUCACACUGGAACUGAGACACGGUCCAGACUCCUACGGGAGGCAGCAGUGGGGAAUAUUGGACAAUGGGCGAAAGCCUGAUCCAGCCAUGCCGCGUGUGUGAAGAAGGUCUUCGGAUUGUAAAGCACUUUAAGUUGGGAGGAAGGGCAGUAAGUUAAUACCUUGCUGUUUUGACGUUACCAACAGAAUAAGCACCGGCUAACUUCGUG
rnacentral:rRNA from 1 species